AAAACAUCUUCAAAACAUCAACAUGAUCGUCUACCAGUGUGCUCCUCGAUCAUGUUUUCUUCAUUGAAUUACAAUUGCAUUGAAGAUGUUUUUCGUAUUCACUGAUAUUAUUUCUGGCCGCGGCCUUCGACAACUGAGGAACUGCAGUCUGCAGUUAUGGAAGCAACCAGAAGAGUAAUUUCAUCAUACUGCAGGAAAUCCGGAUAUAAGGGGGAUUCAUAACGACAACCGCACAAUGAAGCAAGAAAUGUUUUUACAAAAUAAAAUUCAAUCUAUCUGUACAAUAUGUGCGGAAAUUCCGCGAUCGUGAUAUCGCCGGUCAACUAUCAUCAGCUGGUCAUCGGCCGUGGAAACAUCAGCUGCCCAAAACAGUAUUAGGGAUUAGGAAAUAAAAUCUGCUUCGGCCUAAUCUGACGGUUUUACAUCGAAACAUCUCCCGGAUGUAUUAGGUACCAAAAUCCCUAUGGUAAUUAUUAAUUAGUUCAAAUAAAAAUGAU